UAACGCGAAGAACCUUACCAAGGCUUGACAUACACGAGAACGGGCCAGAAAUGGUCAACUCUUUGGACACUCGUGAACAGGUGGUGCAUGGUUGUCGUCAGCUCGUGUCGUGAGAUGUUGGGUUAAGUCCCGCAACGAGCGCAACCCUCGUUCUAUGUUGCCAGCGCGUAAUGGCGGGAACUCAUAGGAGACUGCCGGGGUCAACUCGGAGGAAGGUGGGGAUGACGUCAAAUCAUCAUGCCCCUUAUGUCUUGGGCCUCACGCAUGCUACAAUGGCCGGUACAAAGGGCUGCGAUACCGUAAGGUGGAGCGAAUCCCAAAAAGCCGGUCUCAGUUCGGAUUGAGGUCUGCAACUCGACCUCAUGAAGUCGGAGUCGCUAGUAAUCGCAGAUCAGCA
rnacentral:rRNA from 1 species